UUUAUGUGAUAUGUUACCAGAAAUUUAGCACAUAGUAGCACUUCCUGUUGUUUUCUCAAGUUGCAGUCUAACAAAAUGAACCAUCAAUUACCACAUAAAUAGCAGCAUGGAAUAUCAUUACAUCAUCCAACCAUUACAUCAUUCAGCCAUUACAAGAUUUUGGCAUUACAUUUUUCUUCUAGCUAUUAAUGCAGUACAAAUCCUGUAAAUACACCUGCCAAUAACAUUUUUGGUUCAAUCUCUGCAUUCUUCUCCAGAACUUGUUGACUCAGUGCAUCCUCUGUUCCAAUUCUUUGGCCCUGUUCCAAUCAUGGUUGCCAGUCAUCACCACCUGCAGCUUCAAACCUCCUGAUUGCAGCCCUAAGAUCGAGCAGUAGUUCUGCAAGGAUUGGGGAGCAGGGAUCACUAUGCCACUGAAAAAAUCCACAGCCAGCCUCUGAUUCAAGUGUUCAUACCAUAAGAAAUGGAAAGAAGGACGAGGAAGAAUUGGUAGAGAAGAUUGGGAGCUCACAAUUUCAUGGACGCAGCACUAGUAUCUUCCAGGGAGGAGACUUCUUGCACGGGCGACCUUGAUGGAGCCCUACGCCCGCGACCUCCGCCUGAUUACGACGCGCGGGAGGAGGAAGACAUCGCCGAUUGUAGCCGCCGCCGUUGCCGUCGCC
rnacentral:lncRNA from 1 species